GGGGAAGCUACAGAGCUGGGCCGGCCUCGAAUGUAAGGAUCGGCCUGCGCCCACGGCCAGCCCUGGCCCCUCUCAGUAGUUUCGGAUCCGCUCCAGGCGUGCUUCCUUCCUGGUGUCAGCCGAAGCGUGGUUGCUGCAGUGCCCAGCCCCCGCUUCUCCAGCCGCCCGCAUGAAGGCGUCCGUUUCUUAAGGGUUCCGCCGUCUACCACUGGAUACUUCCGGUGCGGACCCCAACCUUGCUGUGUCUGUGGCUUCAGCUCCUCCGUAAGGCGGUGACAGAGCCAUGGAAGUUAGGAGGGAAGUGUGAAAGGUCAGGACCCAGCUUAGCUCAGAAGGACACCGCCAGCCACUGCCCGUGACGCCCUUCGGUGUCCGGUGACAAGGCUAGGAGCACCCUGCCUGAUUCGAGCCCGCCCUGCCAAGGGAGGGGCCCACCUGCUGUGUCUCCUGCCCAGAGCUGUGCCCUCUGGGGCUCCCGAGGGCCAGAUGAGGCUGUGAAGUGUGUGUGGCCUGUGGUUAAGAACCAUCUCCAGAGCGAAAAAAACCAGGUUUCCACGUCUAUCAAAUGGGGACUAUCAUGCCUACUUCAGAAGAGCAUCUGUGCAGAUUGAGUGACCCCCCAGCAGUGUCUGCAUGUAGUAGGUGCUCAGCCAUGCUCCCCAGGCCAGGACACAGCGCUGCCCACUCCCGCUCAGCCCAGCCCCUGCCUCCUCCAGCCCCAGCCCUCCCCUGGGACGCUCCCUUAUCCUCUCCCUCUGCCUCCCACUCCACCCAGCCGAAGGACUGCACCACACAAUGACACCAAAGGUGGUCUCUGGCCCCCCAGACAGUGGCCCCACCCCUGCUUCCUUGGGUAAGAGAACCAAGACUUCCUUCCUGAGCUGUCAGUCACCCUGACCAGCCAGCACCAUGCUGGUUUAGUAUUUCCCCCUGCCCCAGGGAAGACAUGGACCUCACAGGAAAGGGAGCCAGGAAGGAGGCAGUUCACUGUGCCUUCCUCAGGAAAGGCUGUGUUUCUUCGGGUGGCCACCUGGGCCCCUGGCUCCCUAGAUUCUUGGGGGCUUCCACAAAGGGGUGUGGGGCCUGCGCUUUCCUC
rnacentral:lncRNA from 1 species